CCUGCCCUUUGUACACACCGCCCGUCUCUCCUACAGAUGGAAUGGUCCGGUGAAGUGUUCGGAUCGUUGCGAAGCGGGCGGUUCACCGCCCGCGACUCUGUGAGAAGUCCAUUGAACUUUAUCAUUUAGAGGAAGAAGAAGUCGUAACAAGGUUUCCGUAGGUGAACCUGCGGAAGGAUCAUUGUCGAGACCGAAAUUAUAUUGACCGAUUCAGAAAACCUGUGAAAUAAGCGGCGGCGGCUGUCGCCACGAAGCAGCUGUCCCCGUCGUCGCUCCCCCCCAGUCUGGAGGGGGGCCGCGGCGAGGGAAGGCUAAAACCCCAAACCGGAGCAUACUGGAGCCAAGGUAGCUAUCAAAAAACACGAGCCCAGAGUCGUGUCUUCGUGGGGUGGAGCGGUGCUGCGCACUGCACGUAUUGAUACGACUCUCGAUAAUGGUUAUCUCGGCUCUCGCAUCGAUGAAGAGCGCAGUGAAAUAUGAUACAUGGUGCGAAUUACAGAAUCCCGCGAGCCAUUGAGUCUUUGAACGCAAGUUGAGCCCGAGGCCAAUCGGUUGAGGGCAUGUCUGUCUGGGCAUCAAGCUUCACGCUGCUCUGUGCCUAGUCCCCACCAUCCCACCGUAGUGAGAGUGCUGGGUGAGUCUUGGACGGGUAGAGUGGCUCUUCGUGCCCAUCGGUGCGGCAGGCUGAAGAGCGGGUUAUUGUCUCAUUAGACACGAACAACGUGGGGUGGAUGAAAGCUUUCGCAGGCAAGGCCCGCGUUGUCUCGUACAGGCCCGGGAGAAGAUUAUACUCUUCGUGCGAUCCCAACCCACGCACGGCUCCCCAUGCGUUGGUUUGGAAUGCGACCCAGGAUGGGCGAGACCACCCACCGAGUUUAAGCAUAUCAAUAAGCGGAGGAGAAGAAACUUACGAGGAUUCCCCUAGUAACGGCGAGCGAACCGGGACAUGCCCAGCAUGGGAAUCGGGGCGCCCUGCGGUGGCUCGAAUUGUAGUCUGAAGAAGC
rnacentral:rRNA from 1 species